rnacentral:tRNA from 1 species
GGGGACGUAGCCCAAUGGUAAGGCGUUAGAUUCCAGCACGUGAUCUGGCUGCUUCCUAAAGAUUGGCGGUUCGAUUCCGUCCGUCCUCA